GUAGUCAAGUAUAGCUGAAUGCCGACAAUGGGAUCAGUGGGAACAUCUUAUAAACCCGGCAAACGUAUACAUGACGGAUGCUGCCAACGUUGCCAUCUUUCCUUUGGAAAGUGGGAACUUCAGUGGAUUGGAUCUGACCGUGCACGCUCAUUAUGAGGUACAUGGAGGAGAAGUCUCUCCGACAAGAACACCAGUUACCACUCGGCAUUUUUCUUUCCUCCAACCUUCCACGUCCUCGCUGCCAAACCUGCCUCCGCGACCAAGCACACCUCGAUCUUUUCAAAGAAAUCCUGGAUGGAAGGCUGGUGUCCACCAGGGUUAUUGUGGUGAGAUUUGUGGAGGCAGAGGCGAGUGUGGCUUGUAUCCUACAGAAAGUAAAGGUGGCAAUGGCGAACGAUGAGGAAUAUGUCCUGACUGACGUUCAUGGAAAUGAGAUCAUGGAGACCGAGGGAACAACAGGGUCAUUAUACUGGAGCCAAAAUUCAAGGAAGAUCCAUGCUUUAGAAAAAACAUCAUAUCAGCAGAGGCAGACCAGGAGGACACGUACAAACCGCAGAGAUGAUGAGACUGCUUUGGUGGCUUUGAAAAAUCAGGUGGAAGAGCUGGUGGAGGUAUCCCAUGCACUGGAAGACAUCACUUCACAAAUUAAAGUGCUGAUAGGCCACUCUAGGUCCAUGCUCCAGAGCCAGAAAAUUAAGCAGGCAUUUGCGUGUUUGAUUUGCAGAGAAACCAUGGAGGGCCCCAUGUUUGCUGCCUGCUGCCGGACCUUGGUCGGCUGCAAAGUCUGCGUUCAACAAUGGGAAACCACAUCAACCCAUUGUCUAAAGUGCAGGGCCGAGAACAUACAAUGCACAGAGGUCCUUGGGUUGUCAUCAGCUCUAAACAUUAUCAAAUGUUUUGGCCAGUAGGAUUGUUAUUGUUUCAGUUGUUCAGAAAAGGUUUGUUUUAAUAAUAAUUGUUUUGAUAAAAAAUGUUGUUCAAAAAGUUUGUUUUAGUAAUAGAGAUUUGAGGAUGUAUUGUCUGUAGUUUGAGUUUUAUAUGUGUAAUGUUUUAAAAAGAUGUUCUAAUAAUGUCUAGUACUCUCACUGCUACUGUUUUAUUGUUCUUGGUCAUCCUUUGCUUUCAUCCAUCUGUAGUUUUCAUUUUCCCAAACAAACACAACUGCUAUUGCAAGAUUAAUAAUUUUUAAUUAUUGUUAUACACUUAAUUUUAAUAACUAAUAAAAAAAGGCAGUCACAGAUUGUAUCGCA
rnacentral:lncRNA from 1 species